AUUGAACGCUGGCGGCAGGCCUAACACAUGCAAGUCGAACGAGUGGCGGACGGGUGGGUAAUGUCUGGGAAACUGCCUGAUGGAGGGGGAUAACUACUGGAAACGGUAGCUAAUACCGCAUACCAUCGGAUGUGCCCAGAUGGGAUUAGCUAGUAGGUGGGGUAAAGGCUCACCUAGGCGACGAUCCCUAGCUGGUCUGAGAGGAUGACCAGCCACACUGGAACGGAGACACGGUCCAGACUCCUACGGGAGGCAGCAGUGGGGAAGAUUGCACAAUGGGCGAAAGCCUGAUGCAGCCAGGCCGCGUGUAUGAAGAAGGCCUUCGGGUUGUAAAGUACUUUCAGUGGGGAGGCGUUACCCGCAGAAGAAGCACCGGCUAACUCCGGGCCAGCAGCCGAGGUAAUUC
rnacentral:rRNA from 1 species